CGCGUAGGCGGCCACCGCAAGUCAGUUGUGAAAUCUCUGGGCUUAACCCAGAAAGGUCAACUGAUACUGCGGGGCUAGAGUGCAGAAGGGGCAACUGGAAUUCUCGGUGUAGCGGUGAAAUGCGUAGAUAUCGAGAGGAACACCUGCGGCGAAGGCGGGUUGCUGGGCUGACACUGACGCUGAAGCGCGAAAGCUAGGGGAGCGAACG
rnacentral:rRNA from 1 species